GUUUAAACUUACACGAAUCGCUCUCUUGAGGAGGAGGGAACCGCCGCGCGAUUGACACGCAUAUUCCUAUAGGCAUCCUCCCUCAGCCCCCACCCCCACGGCCGGAUUCGGGUGGCUCCUCUCCGAGCUGAAAUCCGAGAAGAAAUCUCCUUGGAUCUCUUGUUAAAAAAAAAAAAAAAAAAAAAAUCCAGAAACCGUCGGUAUUUUGCUUUCCUGCUUCCUUUUCGCAUGAUGAAGAAGUUUUUCGACUCCAGGCGAGAGCAGGGUGGCUCUGGCCUGGGCUCCGGCUCCAGCGGAGGAGGGGGCAGCACCUCGGGCCUGGGCAGCGGCUACAUCGGACGGGUCUUUGGCAUUGGGCGACAGCAGGUCACUGUGGACGAGGUGCUGGCGGAAGGUGGAUUUGCCAUCGUGUUUCUGGUGAGGACAAGCAAUGGAAUGAAAUGUGCCUUGAAACGCAUGUUUGUCAACAACGAGCAUGAUCUCCAGGUGUGCAAGAGAGAAAUCCAGAUAAUGAGGGACCUGUCGGGGCAUAAGAACAUCGUGGGUUACAUUGACUCCAGUAUCAACAGUGUGAGUAGCGGUGAUGUGUGGGAAGUUCUCAUCCUGAUGGACUUCUGCAGGGGAGGCCAAGUGGUCAACCUGAUGAACCAGCGCCUGCAAACAGGUUUUACAGAAAAUGAAGUACUCCAGAUAUUUUGUGACACCUGUGAAGCUGUCGCCCGCCUGCAUCAGUGCAAAACUCCUAUUAUCCACCGUGACUUGAAGGUUGAGAAUAUUCUCUUGCAUGACCGAGGCCACUAUGUCCUGUGUGACUUUGGAAGUGCUACCAACAAAUUCCAGAACCCACAAACGGAAGGAGUCAAUGCAGUAGAAGAUGAGAUUAAGAAGUACACAACGCUGUCCUAUCGCGCACCAGAGAUGGUCAACCUGUAUAGUGGCAAGGUCAUCACGACGAAGGCAGACAUUUGGGCUCUCGGAUGUUUGUUGUAUAAAUUAUGUUACUUCACUUUGCCAUUUGGGGAGAGUCAAGUGGCAAUUUGUGAUGGAAACUUCACAAUUCCUGAUAACUCUCGAUAUUCCCAAGACAUGCACUGCCUAAUUAGGUAUAUGUUGGAACCAGACCCUGACAAAAGGCCGGAUAUUUACCAGGUUUCCUACUUCUCAUUUAAACUACUCAAGAAAGAAUGCCCAAUUCCAAAUGUACAGAACUCUCCCAUUCCUACAAAGCUCCCUGAACCAGUGAAAGCCAGUGAGGCAGCUGCAAAGAAGACCCAGCCAAAGGCCAGACUGACAGAUCCCAUUCCCACUACAGAGACGUCAAUUGCACCCCGCCAGAGGCCUAAAGCUGGGCAGACUCAGCCCAACCCAGGAAUCCUCCCCAUCCAACCAGCCCUGACCCCUCGGAAGAGGGCCACAGUUCAGCCCCCACCUCAAGCCGCAGGAUCCAGCAAUCAGCCUGGUCUUUUAGCCAGUGUUCCUCAACCAAAAACGCAGCCCCCACCCAGUCAACCGCUACCACAGUCUCAGCCCAAGCAGCCUCAGGCUCCUCCCACCUCACAGCAGCCGCCUUCCACACCAGCCCAGGCUCUGCCCACCCAGGCCCAGGCCACACCCCAGCACCAGCAGCAACUCUUCCUCAAGCAGCAGCAGCAGCAGCAGCAGCAGCAGCAGCAGACAGCGCCAUCUGCACAGCAGCCAGUGGGCACGUUCUACCAGCAGCCGCAGCAGCAGGCCCAGGCUCCGCAGUUUCAGGCAGUACACCCAGCAGCCCAGCAACCAGUGAUCGCUCAGUUCCCUGUGGUAUCUCAAGGAAGCUCUCAACAGCAGCUGAUACAAAACUUCUACCAGCAGCAGCAGCAGCAACAGCAGCUGGCCACAGCCCUGCAUCAACAACAGCUGCUGACUCAGCAGGCUGCCUUGCAGCAGAAGACGACAGUGGCGGCUGUACCGCAGCCCCAAGCACAGCCGGCCACAGCAGCCUCGCCAGCCCCUGCCCAGGAGCCAGCGAUUCAGGCCCCAGUAAGACAACAGCCGAAGGUUCAGACAACCCCACCUCCUACCAUCCAGGGGCAGAAACUUGGAUCUCUCACUCCUCCAUCAUCCCCCAAGGCCCAGCGUGCUGGGCACAGGCGAAUUCUCAGCGAUGUGACCCACAGCGCAGUCUUUGGGGUCCCUGCCAGCAAAUCAACCCAGCUGCUCCAAGCAGCUGCAGCUGAGGCCAGUCUCAAUAAGUCCAAGUCUGCAACCACCACUCCUUCAGGCUCCCCUCGGGCCUCCCAGCAAAAUGUUUAUAAUCCUUCAGAAGGUUCUACGUGGAAUCCCUUUGAUGACGACAAUUUCUCCAAACUCACAGCUGAAGAACUGCUAAACAAGGACUUUGCCAAGCUGGGGGAAGGCAAAUAUCCUGAGAAGCUUGGAGGCUCUGCUGAGAGUUUGAUCCCAGGCUUUCAACCAACCCAAGGUGAUGCUUUUGCUGCUCCCUCAUUUUCCGCUGGAACUGGUCUCCAGAGAGAGCCCAUUCCCUCUCCUGUAAUAACUGUAGAGCACUUUAAAGAAUCGACGGGUGUUAAAGGCCUUCCCCUGUACCCGGACCCCUCCCGGGUACCUGGCACGAAAACUCAGAACAGUCUAGAAUCUGACUACUUGGCCCGAGAUGGCCCUUCCAGCAACAGUUCGUUCCACAGCAGUGAAGAGGAGGGGACCGACCUCGAGGGGGACAUGCUGGACUGCAGUGGCUCUCGCCCUCUGCUCUUGGAGUCGGAGGAAGAGGAUGAGAGCUGCAAGCCUCCGCAGGGGAAGCUAGGAGGAGCCACUCCCUUCACUCAGCCGGAGGUCACUUCCGCGCAGGCCAAGGCCUCGCAAGGUGGGAGGAAGAACCAAUUCGGAGCCCUCACCCAGCCGACCGCUGAUGGACUCGGUGAGCCAGAUGUGUUUGCCACUGCUCCCUUCCGGAGUUCAAGGAUUCCCGCUGAUGACAUUUUUGCCAAAGCCCCCUUUGUCUCCAAGGGCAACGUGGCCCUUUCCCAGCCAGAGGAGACGGAUGUGUUCUUGAGAGCUCCCUUUACCAAGAAGAAAGGCAUGGAGGAGUCAGCAGUUGCCCAGAGCCCCGCCCAGGAGCAGCCCGGUCUCCUCAGUCAGACCGAUGACAUCCCUCUGCUCCCAGGCCUGGAUCGAGCCGUGUACCCGUCCGCCCGAGCUCAGUAUUCCACUGCUGGCUUUGCCCAGCCGUCUAACCUCCCCUCCCAUCCUGUACAAGCAGCAGACCAUCUUGACAGCAUCUCUUCCAGGGGCUCUUCCCUGGAAUCUGGGGCCCAUCCUAAUGACAGAAACAAAGGACCUCAGCCCCAGAAAGAAGCUGUCUCAGGCCCCGUGGCAGGCAAACCAUUCCGCCCCCAGUCUUUAUCCAAAUAUUCCCGUCACUAUAGCCCGGAAGAUGAGCCGAAUCCAGAAGCCCAGCCCAUUGCUGCCUACAAAAUUGUUUCGCAAACCAAUAAGCAGUCGAUAGCUGGCUCCGUUUCCAUCACAUCCCUUGCCUCCAGGACUACGGAGCUGCCAGCUGCUGAUCCUUUUGCUUUAGCACCCUUUCCUUCAAAGUCAGGCAAACAGAAACCUUAGGAGCCAUGCCUGAGCCUCAGGCCUCUGUCUCUACCCUACCCUCAAUACCCACCACAUCACUCCCAGCUGAGCCUUCCUGAGAAGAUUUAUAUCAAUUAUUCUCUUUCAGUUCCGUGAGUCAGAGCAGAACUUCUUGAGUCAACAAACUCAGUCGAGGUGAUACUUAGUUGAAACUCCCUUAAGUUAUGCUCAUUGCUUUUGUUUAUAUUGAUUUCUGGACUUUGGGUGAGUGUGUCCAUCUUCACCUCCACCCAGAACUCUGCUUUCUGUUGUGUGCCUAGAAACUGUUUUAAUCUCAAACUGCUUGUCAGUAAAUCCAGAAAUAACUUCCCGAAGGGGCCAUGGUAUUGCUACUUUGAUUCCUGUAGUUCCUGUUCUGAGUCAUGUCUAAUGAGGAAUUAAGAUGAGUUCCUCCCAGACUUGGUUUCAUACUCUUGAAAAGGGUACAUUUCAGGAAAGAAACACAAGAUAAAAAUUCUGCUCAUCAAAAGGAAGUGUGAUCCUGAAGAUACUAAUCAUUCCUCUAAAACCAGCAACUCUAGAAAGCUUCUCUGGAUCUGAGUCUGUAGGCCACCCUGGUCCUCAUGCGUGAGUGUCGGUGGGUGUGUAAUGUGUGUUAGAUCCUUACCUUUGUAGAGAUGCAAACAUGAGAUUUCUGUGCUGGUGUCUGAUAGUGUGGAGCCUUCUCCCACGUGCACACUUUAAAAAUUCAUGUGAGUGCACAGCUGUGUGUGUACACUUCUGUUUGCACAGGAAACGUUCUUCCUUUAGGUAAAUCCUGUCCCACCUCGCGUACCUCCACAAUCACUCAUUUGCUGGUAUUUGUUCUCCUAACCUAACUUACGUGAACCCUGUUUUUAUUGCAUUCUUUUCUCAUGGCAAAAUUUAAUUUAUUGGAAUGAGUAGGAAAAUCCUGCUGGAAUGCAAUUUUCUAAGUAGAUUGUUUUUUCCUUUAGAAUUUGCUAUUAACAUUUCAUUUACAAAGUCUUGAAAAAUUAAC
rnacentral:lncRNA from 1 species